rnacentral:rRNA from 1 species
CGAAUGGAUUGAGAGCUUGCUCUCAUGAAGUUAGCGGCGGACGGGUGAGUAACACGUGGGUAACCUGCCCAUAAGACUGGGAUAACUCCGGGAAACCGGGGCUAAUACCGGAUAACAUUUUGAACUGCAUGGUUCGAAAUUGAAAGGCGGCUUCGGCUGUCACUUAUGGAUGGACCCGCGUCGCAUUAGCUAGUUGGUGAGGUAACGGCUCACCAAGGCAACGAUGCGUAGCCGACCUGAGAGGGUGAUCGGCCACACUGGGACUGAGACACGGCCCAGACUCCUACGGGAGGCAGCAGUAGGGAAUCUUCCGCAAUGGACGAAAGUCUGACGGAGCAACGCCGCGUGAGUGAUGAAGGCUUUCGGGUCGUAAAACUCUGUUGUUAGGGAAGAACAAGUGCUAGUUGAAUAAGCUGGCACCUUGACGGUACCUAACCAGAAAGCCACGGCUAACUACGUGCCAGCAGCCGCGGUAAUACGUAGGUGGCAAGCGUUAUCCGGAAUUAUUGGGCGUAAAGCGCGCGCAGGUGGUUUCUUAAGUCUGAUGUGAAAGCCCACGGCUCAACCGUGGAGGGUCAUUGGAAACUGGGAGACUUGAGUGCAGAAGAGGAAAGUGGAAUUCCAUGUGUAGCGGUGAAAUGCGUAGAGAUAUGGAGGAACACCAGUGGCGAAGGCGACUUUCUGGUCUGUAACUGACACUGAGGCGCGAAAGCGUGGGGAGCAAACACGAUUAGAUACCCUGGUAGUCCACGCCGUAAACGAUGAGUGCUAAGUGUUAGAGGGUUUCCGCCCUUUAGUGCUGAAGUUAACGCAUUAAGCACUCCGCCUGGGGAGUACGGCCGCUAGGCUGAAACUCAAAGGAAUGACCGGCGCCCGCACAACCGGAGGAACAUGUGGAUUAAUUUCGAACCACCCGA